rnacentral:lncRNA from 1 species
GGAUGAGCCAGUCAGGAAGGUUCUAAGUGAAGGGAGGAAACAAACCUCCUGGCCCUUCACGUGCUCAAGAAAAAGUAAAGCCAGCUUCUUGCCGGUUCGCUUUGCCAGUAAAAACAGUCCUUAAAAGUUCUUUGGAGUAGGAAUGCAGCAGCUCUGGAAGAGGUAAGCAGGUGUUGUUGGGUAUAAAAAGCUCCCUUGUUCUUGGGAUAG